AUUGAACGCUGGCGGCAUGGCUAAACAUGCAAGUCGAGGGAGAUCCUACUUCGGUAGGUGAACCGGCGAAAGGGCGAGUAAUGCGUACCUAACGUACCUCCAGGCGAGGGAUAGCUCAGGGAAACCUGUGGUAAUACCUCAUAACCCCGUAGAGCUGUAUGGUUCUGCGGGCAAAGGCUUGCCACCUGGAGAUCGGGGUACGUCCUAUCAGCUUGUUGGUAAGGUAACGGCUUACCAAGGCUAAGACGGGUAGCGGGUGUGAGAGCAUGACCCGCCGCAUCGGGACUGAGACACUGCCCGG
rnacentral:rRNA from 1 species